UUCUCGACCGGAUGAACUCUCCAGAAACAUAUCGGAGAGGAGGGGGAACUACAUCGCUCGAGGAAAGAUACCAUAAGAAGACCAACUGAACCCCAAGAAACCAUACCAAGGAACGACAACCUGAAUCCUUAGAAAACAAAAUAUAACCAACAUAGUUGCGUGUGCAUUUCUAAAUGUGCAUGUGCAGCAUUACUGGACCGUGUUUUAAGAGCGACAAACUACUAAGACAAACAACUUUCGAAGGUCAAAAUGGCUCCGAAUGCAUCUGUACCGAGAUGAACAAUAGAUGCCGCCCCUUCAAUAAAUAAUAUUAUAUUGUUCUGAUAACUUGUUUGAUGCAUUGGGAGAAUAAUACCCUUUUAAGUAACUUUAUGAAUUCGUGUGCACUUAUAAGAAGGGUGUACCAAAGCAAAACUUAAUUUAAGAAUAGAGAAAAAAGCUUUCUCUGCCCACAUAUAUGGGGUCUAUUGCUUUGAUUUGCUAAGACUAGAGUUCAAGUAACAGAUCAACCCCAUUAGUAUGUUGUUUGUGAUAUGCAAUUACAAUCAUGAGUAAUUAUCUGCCAAUGCUUUUCUCGACCGGAUGAACCCUCCAGGAACAUAUCGGAGAGGAGGGGGGACUACAUCGCUCGAGGAAAGAUACCAUAGGAAGACCAACCGAACCCUAAGAAACCAUAUCAAGGAACGACCAACUGAAUCCUUAGAAAACAAAAUAAAACCAACAUAGUUGCGUGUGCAUUUCUAAAUGUGCAUGUGCAGCAUUAGUGGACCGUGUUUUAAGAGCGACAAACUACUAAGACAGACAACUUUCGAAGGUCAAAAUGGCUUCGAAUGCAUCUGCGCUGAGAU
rnacentral:lncRNA from 1 species